rnacentral:rRNA from 1 species
AUUGAACGCUGGCGGCAGGCCUAACACAUGCAAGUCGAACGACUGGCGGACGGGUGAGUAAUGUCUGGGACACUGCCUGAUGGAGGGGGAUAUCUACUGGAAACGGUAGCUAAUACCGCAUACCAUCAGAUGUGCCCAUAUGGGAUUGGCUGGUUGGGGGGGUAACGGCUCACCAAGGCGACGAGCCCUAGCUGGUCGGAGAGGAUGACCAGCCGCACUGGAACGGAGACACGGUCCAGAGUCCGACGGGAGGCAGCAGUGGGGAAUAUUGCACAAGGGGGGCAAGCCUGAUGCAGCCAGGCCGCGUGUAUGAAGAAGGCCUUCGGGUUGUAAAGUACUUUCAGCGGGGAGGCGUUACCCGCAGAAGAAGCACCGGCUAACUCCGUGCCAGCAGCCGCGGUAAUAC